GUCUGGAGGUGGGACGGGGACGUCUCCGUGUCCAUGGCUACCGGGCGACAGAGAGGAAAACACAGAAAGGAAGACGUGUUCAGUCUGUUUGGUUUGACAGAAACAUGUUGAGAGAAGUCUGAUGAGUGAAGUCAGAGGUCAGAGGUCACAGCAGCUGCAGCAGCGUGUCGACACAUGAACAGAUGCUGUUUCAUUGGUCUUGUACGUCCUACGGGAACCAUGAAUGUGUAUUUCUCAGCCCAGUCAUCCUUAAAACAUCCACUUCCUGCCCUUGUGUGUUUCCCGCUCCUGUCCUCGUCAUCAUCCCCAAAUGUCCUCCACCUGCGUAUUUAGUCUGUGUGACCACUGCUUCCUGUGCCAGUUCGUCUUAGCCCUUAGUUGCAAGCGUUCCAGCAUUAUCCUCUUUGUUAUAGUCUCUAGUGUUUUUGACCCCGGAUCUGCCUUUUUUUGGUCCUGUUGUCUUCUCUGACUGCCUGCCCGUGUACCGAACCUGCUAUUAAAGACUUGUUUUUUUGGAA